rnacentral:lncRNA from 1 species
CCCUAACUAGCCUAGAGUGAGUGUCUGAGGGAGUGAUCAGAAGAUGCUCCCAACCCUGGACUCUAAAGGGCUGAAGGAAUCCAUGAGAGCGAAAAAGCUGGACACUGUUAGCAUGAACUGUUCUCCCAGGAUGAACAAACCUGAGAGAACAAGGCUGAAAGGCUGGAUCUUCCUCUCUAACUAUGGGAAACUCAAAGGGUGGAGAGGCAGGAGGGUCAGGGGAGGGG